rnacentral:rRNA from 1 species
GUACCUGCAGAAGAAGCACCGGCUAACUACGUGCCAGCAGCCGCGGUAAUACGUAGGGUGCGAGCGUUGUCCGGAAUUAUUGGGCGUAAAGAGCUCGUAGGCGGUUUGUCGCGUCGGAUGUGAAAUCCCGCGGCUUAACCCCGGGUUUGCAUUCGAUACGGGCAGGCUAGAGUUCGGUAGGGGAGAUCGGAAUUCCUGGUGUAGCGGUGAAAUGCGCAGAUAUCAGGAGGAACACCGGUGGCGAAGGCGGAUCUCUGGGCCGUUACUGACGCUGAGGAGCGAAAGCGUGGG